AACGAACGCUGGCGGCAUGCCUAACACAUGCAAGUCGAACGAGACCUUCGGGUCUAUUGGCGCACGGGUGCGUAACGCGUGGGAACCUGCACUUAGGUUCGGCAUAACUCUCCGAAAGGGGUGCUAAUACCGGAUAAUGUCUUCGGACCAAAGAUUUAUCGCCUUUGGAUGGGCCCGCGUUGGAUUCGCUAGUUGGUAGGGUAAAAGCUUACCAAGGCGACGAUCCAUAGCUGGUUUGAGAGGAUGAUCAGCAACACUGGGACUGAGACGCGGCCCAGACUCCUACGGGAGGCAGCAGUGGGGAAUAUUGGACAAUGGGCGAAAGCCUGAUCCAGCAAUGACGCGUGAGUGAUGAAGGCCUUAGAGUUGUAAAGCGCUUUUACCCGGGAUGAUAAUGACAGUACCGGGAGAAUAAGCUCCGGCUAACUCCGUG
rnacentral:rRNA from 1 species